UACGAAGGGGGCUAGCGUUGCUCGGAAUUACUGGGCGUAAAGGGCGCGUAGGCGGCGCCGGUAGUCAGGCGUGAAAUCCCCGGGCUCAACCUGGGGGCUGCGCUUGAUACGCCGGUGCUAGAGGGCGGAAGAGGCUCGCGGAAUUCCCAGUGUAGAGGUGAAAUUCGUAGAUAUUGGGAAGAACACCGGUGGCGAAGGCGGCGAGCUGGUCCGUUACUGACGCUGAGGCGCGACAGCGUGGGGAGCAAAC
rnacentral:rRNA from 1 species